UACAGAGGUGGCAAGCGUUGUUCGGAUUUAUUGGGCGUAAAGGGUCCGUAGGCGGCUCGGAAAGUUGGAUGUGAAAUCCUACAGCUUAACUGUAGAACUGCAUUCAAAACUCCCGGGCUAGAGUGUGAGAGGGGUAAAGGGAAUUCCCGGUGUAAGGGUGAAAUCUGCAGAGAUCGGGAGGAACACCAGUCGCGAAGGCGCUUUGCUGGCUCACAACUGACGCUGAGGGACGAAAGCUAGGGUAGCAAACGGG
rnacentral:misc_RNA from 1 species